GGCAAUGUCAGGGGGGUGCAGCAAGCAAUACAAAAGGGACAUUGCAGCCCUAACAGGGCCAUACACACAGACUGCACGGGCAACGGACAAGGCUUCCGCUCCUGCUACUUGUAGGGAUUUAGUCAGACUUUAGCCAGAGACACAAUGGCUUCCAGUGGCAGAUGAUGCUAUGAUAUUGCUGACUCUCAUGCCAAGGAUAAUACCUAGCAGUGUAUAUACUUACAUCAUAUUGGGAGGGGGACUGAAAAGCAGAAUGCCAACUGAUUUGUCUCAGCUGUGUAAGUUUGAGGACAAUAGUUAUUUUAGAGGUAAAGAGAUAAAAUAAAGGUUUUUGUUUUGGUUUUUAGAAGUUACCAUAACAUUUGAAGUAUAAAUUAGUAGAGGAAAAUAGACUAGGCCUUCAAACUGAACUUUUUUUGUAAAAGUUUUCAUUCAUUGUGAUGACGUACACUGUUUGGCCACAUUGUGCAGCAGACACAGAAAACGUCUGGAGGAAAAUGAGAUGGAAUAGCAAAUAGCAGACUUGGUGCAACUUGAAUCUGAUAGAAGUCAGCAAGAUUCUCCGGAUUACAGGCUGCAAUGGCUGGUCAAACGGAACCAAGUCCGUUUCCCAAGGAGGUUUGGUCCCCUUCAACCAGCUACUGCAGUUCUGAAUGCCAUCGUUACCCGGGUGACGUCUUUCUUCAGUGUGUGAAAUAGAAAUCAGCAUAAAUUUGUUAGAUAUAUUACAGAAGAAAGAUGAUUUGAUCAAAAAGUGCAAUACUAAAAAAACAACAAUAGUCACUCAAUCUCCUUUCAUUUCUGAUUUGUUGUCAGCCACAAAAAUGUGUACAUUAAAGGGACAUUAAAUACUAAAUACAUGCAAGAUAGAAUGAUAUAUUUAAAGGGCCAUAAUAGUUGUGCUAAUUCAUUAGAGCAUGCAAUUUUAAGACUAUUGACCCUACACUACUUUUUGUUUAACCCAAACAAAGCAAUUAAACACACAGUAGAAGUACAAUUCUGUACCCAGAGAGCACUGCAAACUACCGCUGAUUUGAUCAACAGUGAUAAUUACACAAUUGUGAAACUGAUGCUGCUGAUUGGAUCAUCAAUAGUUUCUGAGCAGCACUUCUACUGUGUGUUUAACCUCUUUGUGGAACAUUAACACACAGUAGUGCAGGGUUAAUAAUCUUAAAGGGAUACUGAACCCAAUUUUUUCAUUCAUGAUUCAGAUAGAGAGGCAUAUUUAAGAAAGGUCUUGCGGACCUGAUCCGACAGUGCAGAGAGCAAUGCACUCUCUGCAUUUAACAUUGCACCAGCAGCUCACAAGAGCUGCUGGUGCAACGCCGCCCCUUUCUGACUCGCAGCCAAUCGGCCGCCAGCAGGGAGGGGUCAAUCAACCCGAUCGUACUUGAUCGGGUUGAAUUGUUGCGAUUCCUGUCCGCCUGCUCAGAGCAGGCAGACAGGGUUAUGGAGCAGUGGGGGUUAUGAAACACGGGGCAUCAAGCUCCAUUCGGAGCUUGAUAGAUAGGCCCCAGAGUAUGCAAUUUUAAGCAAAUUUCUAAAUUACUAAUAUUAUAUUGUUUUCGUUCUCUUGGUAUCUUUAUUUGAAAAAGCAGGAAUGUAAGCUUACAAGUCAGACAAUUUUUGGUUCAGCACCCUGGAUAGCGCUUGCUGAUUAGUGGGUACAUUUAAGGCUGUGACACACUGCAAGUGAUGCGGCGCGAGGCGAAGCAUCUGCUUCACUUCGCGCCGCAUCACUUCUGAAGUUCAGAGAUUUCAUCUCUGAGCACUCAGCUAUGCGACCUGACGCAGCAGAGUGCUCAGAGAUGAAAAGGCAGGACACACUGAGUGCGCACAGCCGCAUCUACACGCUGCGCACCGCUCCGCUUGCAGUGUAACACAGUCUUUAGACACAAUCAGCAAGCUCUACCCAGGUGCUGAACCAAAGAUGGGCCGGCUCCUAAGCUUACAUUCCUUCUUUUCCAAAUAAAGAUACCAAGAGAACGAAGAUAAAUUGAUAACAGGAGUAAAUUAGAAAGUUGCUUAAAAUUGCAUGCUCUAUAUGAAUCAUGAAAUAAAAAGAAAAUGGGUUCAGUGUCCCUUUAAGGUUACUUGCUCCGACAAAUUAAAACAUUUAUUUUUUUUACUAUUAUGGUCCUCUAAAGCAAAGAUUAGCCUGAGAAUAACACACACAUGUAUUUUUUAUAAUUAUAUUAUGUAUUUACAUUUGAAAAAGUAGGUGUAACAUUUUAGUUUCCUUAAAGUUCCAUAAUACCCAAAUGUUUAAACACUUGAAAGUGAUGCAGCAUAGCUGUAAAAAGCUGAUAGAAAAUAUCACCUGAACAUCUCUAUGUAAAAAAGAAAGAUAUUUUACCUCAAAAGUUCCACAGUAGCCACAUCCCAUUGUAAAGGACUUCUAAGCAGCAUAUUAGUAUGUCUGUCUUGGGAUAGCUAAGAGGAUGAGCCUUGUGUACUCUCAUAUUAUUUCCCUAUUCAGUUUAAAGGAAGUUUACAAUGAAAUCUCAUGAGAGUUAAGUCAAAUCUCAUGAGAUCACAGUAAAAUAGUUCAUGACCUCAACACUGCUAAUGCUGUUUGGCUGCUGUUCAUUUCUUCAUUUUUAUUAUUUAUUUUUUUAUCUGCAGCUGGGAGCAGCUGAGUAUAACUUUUUUACACAGAACUUACUCUGCUGAGCUGAGGAAAUUGUGAGGUAAAAUAUCUUCCUUUUUUACAUAGAGAUGCUCAGGUGAUAUUUUCAGCUUUUUACAGUUAUACUGCACCAGUUUCAAGUGAUUUAGCAUAUGAGUAUUAUGUCCCUUUAAGCCAAUUAGGGAUAGUUAUAAACAGAUAGAGUGUGCAAGCAAUGAUUAUGAUGAAUAUAGCAGUGUCAAGUCUGGAGUUUGCAUUUUCAUUUUUAAACGGAAUUGGGAAAGUCCACAAUAUUCAAAAUUAAAUUACAGGAAAAUGGGACAAAUUAAAUAAUAAAACUUUAUUGCAAAGUUUGGUUAGUCCAUAAAACUAAACGUGUUAUAUUAAAAUCCCCAAAUGUUUAAUGUCCCUUUAAGAACCACAAGAUUAGACACUGUAUGACCUUGUCACCCUCAGUUUGCAAAUACAGUGUGACAGAAUUCAUUAUAUGGAAAUAAAUCAGAUGUUUUUUAGACUCUUUAGAACCUCCCUUUAAAUCCUUCUGAUGCCCAGGUAACAAAUGUAUGGAUUAAAUGAUCUAUUAAAAUUUAGUUUUAUUAAUAUUCUACACACCUGAGUAAAAGAAACACAAUGUUAUACAGAGAUAUUAAUCAAAUUAGAUCCCAAAUGAUGUGAUUGCAUGUUUAGAAGCAAAUCAUAAAACAAAAACUUUUAGAUGUUUUUUUCCUAAUAAAUACAUAAUUUCUACUGAUUUAACCCCUUAACGAUCAAGAUGUACCCUGUACGUUGCUGGUCAUUAAGGUCAGCAGAGGAACCAUGCUAUUAUAACCUCUCUACCUCCAGCUGGCCACGGAAAUAGCAUGGUCCCGCCGCUGCCAGUUUUUCUAUUACAAAUUCAAGCCCCAUGGAAAGACCAGCAACAUACAGGGUACAUUGCUGGUCGUUAAGGGGUUAAAGAAUAACAAACAUGGCCCAAUUAUGAGAACAUGUUGUUUGCUCCUCUGCCUGUACUGUAAAUUGUUCCUUUAAGGGACGUUAAAGAUAUUUGAUAUAUAUAUAUAUAUAUAAACAAAUUAAAAGUUUGUCACAGACGGCUAAAGACCAGCGAGUGCUUAUUUCAACAAUAUAUAUAUAUAUUUAUAUAUAUUAUAUUAAAGGGGCAUUAAGCACUAAAUACAUUUUAUACAUCUCCCUAUAAUUAUGGGUGCCGCCAUUUUGGAUGCUAAGUUUCACUGCAGGUAUCUGAAGGAGAGUUGCUGCACACUUGCAAACACAUCAGCACUGCAUGUAGGGAAAGUAAGAUUUCAACAUGAUGGCACCGAUGACUGGAGGGAAACGGGGAAUAACUUCAUAUUAAUAUUUAGUGUUGAAUGUCCCUUUAAGCACAGCAUUACAGAAAUGUAAGGGACAGGAAACCCCCCCAAAAAGUUUUAUGAUUUGCAUAGAAUAUAUCAUUUUAAACAGCUUUCCAAUUUACUUCUAAUAUCAAAGAUCUGCAGGUAAAAUAAAUAUUUUAAAAGCAUUGAGAACAUUUUUAUUUUAUUGUAUUUUGCUGCAUUGUAAAAUACACAUUCCUCAAAAUGCUGCAUUAACAUUUUUUUUUUUUUCUUUAUUAUUUUUUUUAUUAGAAUUUUCAUAAAGAAAUUUAAUACAAAGUAAACAAUAUACAAUAUCAAUGCAGUUAUUACAAGUUAUCUGACACUUCAAUAGAAGGUGAAACAAACUCAAUGCUAUAUGUCCCAGUUGAUAUUUAAGAUAUUAUAAUCUAAGUCUUCUUACACAUUCCAUCAGGUACUAUGCUUCUCGCAUCUUAUUAUAUAUACUGCUUUGAAGUGACGUUGAAACUUGACUCAGUCCUGAACCCAACGUUGACAUCGACAUUAUAUGUGAUAAACUUAAUUACCAUAACAUAAACAUAAACAUUAACAUGAACAAGAAACAAAAAGGAAAUACAUCUAACUCCUGCAGAGAGCAUCUAUUCUUAAUCUUUGCCUGACUAUUUGUUCGGGACAGCUGAAUGCUGCAUUAACAUUUUAUUGUCUUGAAGGGCCAGGGAUUUGGACUCAGUAUGCACAGCCUUUCUGGGAGCAGAAAUGACAAAAAAAUGCAGGAAAUUCAUAAUAAAAACACAUUGCAUAGUUUUUUUUAAUUAUGCAUAAUUAAUGGUUAUGGGAUUAAAAAAAAUUGAGUUUAAUUUUAAGUGUCAGUUUGUCUUGAAAUUUUGAGCAUAUUUUAUAGUGUAUUUUUACUUAUAUUCAUUACAGUUUACUUAUACAUAUUUUUAUAUUUUUUUUAAGUAACAUAUUUACAUAUAGUUUUUACAUAUAGUUUUUUUCUUUUACAGAAUUCUCUUUCUAGUUUAAUUUUAUUUCCUUUACUGUAUCAAAUUAUUGUGUAAGGUCUCUUCUCAAAGUAUAAAACCACUUUAUCAUUUGAUUUUUCCGUAGUCUGUACACCACUCUUGUAGAGUUACAUUUCUGAGAUCAUUAUAAAUUAAUACAGAACCACAGUACAGUAAUAUAAAGCUUUAAAGGGACAGUCAACAACUUUCCAAUUUACUUUUAUCACCAAUUUUGCUUUGUUCUCUUGGUAUUCUUAGUUGAAAGCUAAACCUAGGAAGUUCAUAUGCUAAUUUCUUAGACUUUGAAGGCUGCCUCUAAUCUAAUUGCAUUUUGACAAUUUUUCACCACUAGAGGGUGUUAUUUCAUGUGUUUCAUAUAGAUAACAUUGAGCUCAUGCAUGUGCAUUUAUUGAGGAAUGAGCACUGAAUGGCUAAAAUGCAAAUCUGUCAAAAGAAAUUAAAUAAGGGGGCAGUCUGCAGAGGCUUAGAUACAAGGUAAUUACAGAGGUAAAAUGUGUAUUAUUAUAAUUGUGUUGGUUGUGCAAAACUGGGGAAUGGGUAAUUAAGGGAUUAUCUAUCUUUUAAAACAACAAAAAUUCUGGUGUUGACUGUCCCUUUAAGCAGUACUUUACCCACUACAAAUGCUUUGUGUGUAUUUCAAAUAAAAAAACAUUGUUUCUUGUGUUGAAUUCUUAAAGCAUAAAUAAAUUAAAAAAGGCAAAAAAA